rnacentral:tRNA from 1 species
UCCCCAGUGGCUCAGUGGUAAAGAAUCUGCCUGCAAAGCAGGAGACACUGGUUCAAUCCCUGGGUGGGGAA